rnacentral:pre_miRNA from 1 species
AAUAAGUGCAGUUUUGCACUAUUCACGUUCAACGUUUGACCAUUCAUUUUAUUUGAAAUUUUUUAUGAUUAGUAUUUUUAUUGCUAUUAGAUGAUAAAACAUAAAUAGUAUUUUAUGUGUGACUAAAUAUUUUUAAAUUUUUUACAAAUUUUUUAAAUAAGACGGACGGUCAAACGUUAGACACGGAUAUCCACGGCUAUACUUAUU